rnacentral:lncRNA from 1 species
AUAAUCAGGCUGCCCAGCUUGUUGGCUUGGACAUGGCUCCUCUCCACUUAGGAGGCUCUGCCCACUCACAUUCCAGGCCUCAGCUUGCCAUGUUUUCCUGUUAAGCCCAGAACCCUUCCCCUGGGUCCCUUCCUCAGAGGGGACAUGUUGGGAGCCACAGUCUCAGAGAUACUUGGGAUUUUAAACAUGAUGCAACUCUAGGGCUGACUUUGGAAUUCUGUGGGCUGUGCUUGGCCCAGAUCCCACCUUUGGGCCACUUUUGCUGCUGCUAUUAUUUUUAGUUGGUGGGGCAAUCAUUGUGUGCCUUUGUACAGUUUUCAUUUGGGAAGCCUUAGAGCUCUUUAACUCCACUCCAUUCUAUCACAUCCUUGUUUAGCAAUGAUCAUCCUUUUGCAUUACAAACUAGAAAAGCAACUCCGUAAGACUAACAAACUCUCUUCAACCAAGUAAAGGAGACUCCUUGUGGAGGGGAGCCCCUGCCCGCUCACCUGGAUGACCAUGCCUCACCUCUGCCGAUCACAUGCAAAUAUUUGUCCUGUUCUGAGACAUCCUCCUGGGUCCCAGCUUCUUCUCUUGAAGAAUUUCCAGUGCACCAUCAGAAGCCGAAGUAACUGUGAGUGGGAGGCAUUGGAGCCGGCUGGGAGGUAAGCAUUCGGGCCAGCAGGGAGGAGGAGUCGCCCAUGUAGCAGUGCUGGAUGACAACAUUCCCACACUGCCCUCGGACACAUCACAGACCCUGGUACCACAGGAUCCCUCUGAUUCAACUGAAGAGAGAUGCAGAGCUGCAUGCCACCAAGUAACUAAUUCGUUCUUCUCUUCUUAUAUCCAUUGAGCAGUGUGCAGUGUUGGCACAAUGCACAGUACUUGUUAACCACUCCAGGAAAAGAAAGAGCCACUCAUUCUGAUUAGCUGUCAGAACUAAUUUUAAGCUAUGUUAUUAUAUGGUAAAGAGGAAAAAGGAAAUACAAGGAAACUGUACUUAAAGCCAGUGCCUAAUCAGGUUUUUUCCCCUUCGUCUGUUUCAUACAAAAGCUCCCUGGAAUCACUGGUGUGAACCAUUUCAUUCCCCUCUUCCGGUGUUAAUUACAUGUGAUAUUCUAAAAUAUACACUCCUCUCUCCAAGUAGACCAAACCGAGCCCUUUGUAAAUUGCUCAUUGCCCAUUCGUUUUCCCCAGCAGCUCCACCUCAUUUCCUUGUACCUCCUGUUUCGCCGUGGGGCCACAACUCCAGCAGCACUAAGUAUAGAGUAAUUAUUUCUGCCAGAAACAUUCCCCCUAAAAAGGGCUGGGCUGAGUUUGGUGUAUGUAUGUGUGUACUUGAAAGAAAGGCAUAUAAUAAUAUCAGGCCUCUUUGUUUUCCCUCUUUUAAUACCCACCGGUUCUCCAAGAUGUCAUUGGCAAACACAACAGCAUUUGCUUUUGUUCCCUUUACAAAUAUUUUCCUCUCAAGGCCUAUUUCUUUCUUAAAACUGCUGCGUGUCUCACUAUGGAAAGCAAUAGUUCUCAAUUAGUAGACUGAAUGAACUCUGCCUGUGUGGUUUUGAUUUAGGAAAUAUUUACUAAGCUUUUGGUCUAAAACUCCCCAAAAUCUGGAGCAGCUGAUAGUCUCUUGGGUAAGUGAAAGCAACUCAAAUGGUAGGUAUUUGUGUUUCAGGUGGGAGUGGGGGCAGAAGAGGGGCCUUGGGAAAUCCAGUUAAUCUAUCUAUCACUUCUUUUCCAAUCAUGUCAUUAUCCAUUCAACAAAUAAUUGCUGAAUGCCUAAUAUGUGCUUGCUGCUCUUGGGUGAGUUGGGACCACCAAGCGUGACCAUUCAACCCAAGGAGAACUCUUAUUACUCUUGCAGAAACAGAGCUGGGCAUUCUGUAACAGUCUAGAGAUUUUACUGGAGUAAGGGACAACCAUAUGAUUUGUCUUUUGGCAUAAUACAAAUUAUAUUCAUUUUUUAAAAUAAAAAAAUUACUUACUUUUGUAUCUUAUGGUAAGCAUUUCUUCCAAUAUAGGGAAAUGCUAAAUGUCUCCAGAUUUCUGCAUAGGGCUUACAUGUUGCACAGAUUUGUGACAAUCUUGAGAUUUGGUUCCUUGAAUGGAGUCUCUAAUACAAGCUUUCUACUUAGAUUGAAUGAUCAGCCUUGAUGGUCCCAACUUGCCC